rnacentral:lncRNA from 1 species
AUGAUGGAAUUGACUUUGAGGUUGAUAUCUCUCAGUUUGUUGUAUAAGUGCUCAACCGUGGUAGCAACCAGUUGGAGCAUGUCUGAGAAACUUGGCUCGACCACUUGCUCGGAGAGGCAGAAGGUAUCAGCACUAGCAGGCUUUAUGAAAUGAACAGAAGGAAAAUAGAAGACUGCAGAACCAAAUAGUCACAGUGCUAACUUGUCAGAAGCCAUAAUAAAAUGAAGUCUAUUUCAUUUAAGUGAUUGUGUUUCUAUGAGGUCAGAUGUUGAAUUUUAAUCGAUCAAUAGUGUUCACCAAAAACAUCCAUAUGUAAUACUCGUUCUCAUUUUCAAAACAAGCUAUAAAGAAUUUAUGAGAGAAAGCUUUUUUCUGACGUUUUCAUUGACAAUCCAAAAUCCUAUUGUUUGGCUAUAAGAGGCCUGCCAGAACAAUUAUACAGCUCAAUCAAAAAAUUAUUAGUGUCUUGAUAUUUAGACUUGUUCCUGGGGUUAUUUGGGGCACUGAUUCAGACCACAUCCACUCUAGUUUGUUUGAGAUGGCUAUCAUGAUUUUCUGUGAGCAAGCAGUUGAUGACUGGUACAUGGCAUAUGUUCUGUAUCUCAAAAGCUAAAGCUGAUAGGAGAAAACUGGUGCAAUUUUAGGAAUCAACAAGUCAAAUAUAGCUAGAAAAAGGGCCAACAUUUGAGGCACUAAAAUGUGUGUUGGCCAUUAUUAUAGAAUAGUAACAAAUUCCUAUAGAAUCAAUUGGGCUACUCUAUCUGGACCUAACAACAAGUUUUAGAUCACAAAAUACUUGAAAGUUAAAUACUUUAAAUCCCUCAUGUAUAUACUUAUGCAGGAGUCAAAAUAUACUUUGAUUUCCUGUACUCAUACUUGUUUCAAAAAGUGUAGAACAUGGUGUAGUGGUUUGAAUGCUGAACUAGAACUGUAGAGAACAGGGUUCAAAUUUCUGCUUAGCCAUGGAAACCCACUCUGUGACCUUGGACAAGCAAUUCUUUCUCAUGCUCAGAGGAAGGCAAAGGUAACCCUCCUAAAAUCCUAAACAUGAAAACCCCAUGACAUGUUACCAUAGGACGAAGGUGAUCUGAAAGCACAAAACAAAGUACCUAGGAUGAGGUACCCAAGAUGCAUCUACACUGUAGAAUUAAUGCAGUUUGACACCACUUUAAAUGUCAUGGCUCAGUGCUACCAAAUAAUGAGAGUUCUAGUUUUUCAACAAAUUUUGUCUUCUUGCCAAAGAGUGCUGGUGAUUAACUAAACUGCAAACCCCAAGAUUCCAUACUAUUGAGCCAUGACAGAUCAAACUACAUUAAUUCUACAGUGUAGAUGCAUCCUAGGUACCUCAGCUGAACCUCGAGUAGUCUACAGCAGAGCUGGUGAAAAUGCAGAAUUCCAAUCAUUUAGAACUGAAAUUCCAAUCAUUUCUUACUAUCAACCAUGAUGAGUUGGGGGAAACUGCAGCCCAGCAAUAUCUGAAAGGCUGCACUUUAAAGAUUACUUUGGUCAAAUCCUCUCUCCACAUA